UCUGGGUUUUGUUCAGGUGGGAGUCCUCUCAUGUUCAGGCUUAUCAGCGAGUGUCAAUAGGAGGCUCGUGGUGUUUUUGUUUUAGGUGGCAGUGAACGUGGGUAGAGAAUCCCUUUCCGUUUUCCCUUACAUCCGCUCCGGAGCACCUCCGUGGUUAUUGGGGGGGCGCCAGUUUCUGGUUGUCUUUUCCACCCCACUGGUUUUGUGCAUAAAACCCCCACCACAUGUGACUGCACGAAGACCAGGGCCAGUUGUUUUUGGAGGAUAGUGGGGUGUGGCUCCUGUCCUUGAACCCAGACUGACAGCAGAGAGAGUAUGGAACCAGCAGAGAGGGGGGGAAACUAUAUCUGGAAGAAGGCCACCGAGACAGAGGAGCUAUCCAUGAAGAACCACUAAGACGGUUCUCAAACAGCUUAAAGUUAAACACAACAAGUCUACUGCGUUCCAUGCCCAGAGCCAGGGAGCUUUGGAAUGUUUUCAUCAAACUUUAAAAUCCUUGCUUCGUGCAUACUGUACAGAACUGUCUUGCAGAUUGGAAGGAGUUGUAAGUACCUCGGCGUACACAUCACAGACUGAAAUGGUCCACCCACACAGACAGUGGUGAAGAAGGCGCAACAGCGUCUCUUCAACCUCAGGAGGCUGAAGAAAUUCAGCUUGUCACCAAAAACACUCAACUUUUACAGAUGCACAAUUGAGAGCAUCCUGUCGGGCUGUAUCACCGCCUGGGACGACAACUGCUCCGCCCACAACCGGAAGGCUCUCCAGGGGGUAGUGAGGUCUGCACAACGCAUCACCAGGGCAAACUACCUGCCCUCCAGGACACCUACAACACCCAAUGUCACAGGAAGUCCAAAAAGAUCAUCAAGGACAACGGCCACCCGAGACACUGCCUGUUCACCCCGCUAUCAUCCAGAAGGAGAGGUCAGUACAGGUGCAUCAAAGCUGGGACCGAGAGACUGAAAAACGGCUUCUAUCUCAAGGCCAUCAGACUGUUAAACAGCUAUCACUAACAUUGAGUGGCUGUUGCCAACAUACUGACUCAAAUCUCUAGCCACUUUAAUAAUUACAAAUUGGAUGUAAUAAAUGUAUCACUAGUCACUUUAAACAUUGCCACUUUAUAUAAUGUUUACAUACCCUACAUUACUUAUCUCAUAUGGUUAUACUGUACUCUACAUCUACUGCAUCUUGCCUAUGCCGUUCGGCCAUCUCUCAUCCAUAUAUUUAUAUGUACAUAUUCUUAUUCAUUCCUUUACACUUGUGUGCAAAAGGUAGUUAUGAAAUUGUUAGAUUACUAGAUAUUACUGCAUGAUCGGAACUAGAAGCACAAGCAUUUCGCUGCACUCGCAUUAACAUCUGCUAACCAUGUGUAUUUGACCAAUAAAAUUUGAUUUGAUUUUGUAAUAAGAUUCUGGCCUGCAAUGGCAAAAAAAUAUAUUCUAAUGUGGCCCUCCAUGGAAAAUAAUUGCCCAGGCCUGUGCUAGAAGGAUGUCAUGUCCUGCCAUUGGAGGAGUGGAUGAGUGAGUUUUCCCCCUCAUAUCAUAUUGUUUUUCGGUGGCUAUACACAGCUAGAGAUGCCGGCGUCAUCUGGUUAGCUUGCAAUAACAUGAACAACUGUUAUACAGUUAGCGUAUGUCUUGCGUUCGCAAAUUCACUCUGGCGAUCUACUCUGAUUUCAGAGCACUCUUCUGA
ensembl:lncRNA